AUUGAACGCUGGCGGCAUGCCUUACAUAUGCAAGUCGAACGGUAGAGGGGGCAACCCCUCGAGAGUGGCGAACGGGUGAGUAAUGCAUCGGAACGUGCCCAGUAGUGGGGGAUAGCCCGGCGAAAGCCGGAUUAAUACCGCAUGAGACCUACGGGUGAAAGGGGGGGAUCGCAAGACCUCUCGCUAUUGGAGCGGCCGAUGUCAGAUUAGGUAGUUGGUGGGGUAAAGGCCUACCAAGCCGACGAUCUGUAGCUGGUCUGAGAGGACGACCAGCCACACUAGGACUGAGACACGGCCCAGACUCCUACGGGAGGCAGCAGUGGGGAAUUUUGGACAAUGGGCGAAAGCCUGAUCCAGCCAUGCCGCGUGCGGGAAGAAGGCCUUCGGGUUGUAAACCGCUUUUGUCAGGGAAGAAAUCCUUUGAGCUAAUACCUCGGGGGGAUGACGGUACCUGAAGAAUAAGCACCGGCUAACUACGUGCCAGCCGCCGCAGUAA
rnacentral:rRNA from 1 species